rnacentral:rRNA from 1 species
UACGUAGGGUGCGAGCGUUGUCCGGAUUUAUUGGGCGUAAAGAGCUCGUAGGCGGUUUGUCGCGUCGGCCGUGAAAACCUGCAGCUUAACUGUGGGCUUGCGGUCGAUACGGGCAGACUUGAGUUCGGUAGGGGAGACUGGAAUUCCUGGUGUAGCGGUGAAAUGCGCAGAUAUCAGGAGGAACACCGGUGGCGAAGGCGGGUCUCUGGGCCGAUAUUGACGCUGAGGAGCGAAAGCGUGGGGAGCGAACAGG